CCAAACAUCUAGCCCUAACUUAUCCCUAUUAGUCAUCUUAUCUUACCCCUUCUUAUUAAAACAUUUUACCAAUUUAGUAAAGGCGAUUAAAAAAUCCAUUAGAGCCACAACACUGUACCGCAAGGGAAAGAUGAAAUAUUAAUGAAAUAAUCUUUAAGCACAAAAAAGCAGAGCUUAACCCUCGUACCUUUUGCAUCAUGGUUUAACUAGUCUAACCAAGCAAAAAGAACUUAAGUUUGCCCCCCCGAAUCUAGACGAGCUACUUCAGGACAGCUUUAUGAGCCAACCCAUCUCUGUUGCAAAAGAGUGGGGUGAUCUUUAAGUAGUGGUGACAGACCAAACGAGCCUAGUGAUAGCUGGUUGCUUAUGAAAAGGAUUUUAGUCCCACUUAAAGGCCCAGUUACUACAAUCUAAAAACCUGCCUUUUAAGUAAUUCAAAUAAGGUACAGCCUAUUUGAAAAAGGAUACAACCUCGACCCCUGGGUUACUAUUUUUGAACAUAUAGCAAAGUUGACCUAAAAGCAGCCAUCUUAAUCAAAAGCGUCAAAGCUAACCUAUUUGUUUGCACAAUCCCCAUAUUUCUUCUCUAACCCCCACCUCCUAAAAAGCAAUUCUAUACCCCUAUAGAAAGUUUUAUGUUAAAACUAGUAAUAAGAAGCAGACCUUCUCUUUAAUGUAAAUGUACAUCAACAAGGACACCCCAUUGAUAUUUAAACGCUCCUAACUCCACAGUAAUAACACAUCAAGAAAAUAUUACUCCCACUAACGUUAACCUAACACAAGAACAUUCAAAGAAAGAUUUAAAGAAAAAGAAGGAACUCGGCAAAUAAUAGCCCCGCCUGUUUACCAAAAACAUCGCCUCUUGAUCACACAUAAGAGGUCCAGCCUGCCCAGUGACAUUGUUCAACGGCCGCGGUAUCCUAACCGUGCGAAGGUAGCGCAAUCACUUGUUCUUUAAAUGAGGACUAGUAUGAACGGCCCCACGAGGGCUACACUGUCUCCUUUUUCUAAUCAAUGAAACUAAUCUUCCCGUGAAGAAGCGGGGAUGAACCUAUAAGACGAGAAGACCCUAUGGAGCUUUAAAUAUUUAUAAAUAUCUGCCCUAUCUAAUUUCCAGUUUCAUUCAUCCGGGCACUUUAUUUAAAGUUUUAGGUUGGGGUGACCGCGGAGUAAAAACUAACCUCCACAUUGAACAAGAUUCUUAUCUUUUAGCAAAAACAACAACUUUAUGCACCAAAAAAUUGACUUUGAUUGACCCAAUAUAUUGACCAACGAACCAAGUUACCCUAGGGAUAACAGCGCAAUCUAUUUCAAGAGCUCAUAUCGACAAAUAGGUUUACGACCUCGAUGUUGGAUCAGGGUGUCCCAGUGGCGCAGCCGCUACUAACGGUUCGUUUGUUCAACGAUUGAAACCCU
rnacentral:rRNA from 1 species